rnacentral:rRNA from 1 species
GAGUAAGGCUGGCGGCGUGCCUAACACAUGCAAGUCGAGCGGCACGGAGUUUUAUGCUGAAUUCUGGAAGCUUCUAGUUAAAAGAGAGGAUUUAUUCAAGAAUUUUGUGUGAAAUGUCGGCGAGCGGCGGACGGCUGAGUAACGCGUGGGAACGUACCCCAAAGUGAGGGAUAACGCAUCGAAAGGUGUGCUAAUACCGCAUAUGGUCUUCGGAUUAAAGCCUUCGGGCGCUUUGGGAACGGCCUGCGUAAGAUUAGAUAGUUGGUGGGGUAAUGGCCUACCAAGUCGACGAUCUUUAACUGGUUUGAGAGGAUGAUCAGUCAGACUGGAACUGAGACACGGUCCAGACUCCUACGAGAGGCAGCAGUGAGGAAUCUUCCACAAUGGGCGAAAGCCUGAUGGAGCCACGCCGCGUGCAGGAUGAAGGCCUUCGGGUUGUAAACUGCUUUUAUAAGUGAUGAUUAUGACCGUAACUUAUGAAUAAGGAUCGGCUAACUACGUGCCAGCAGCCGCGGUCAUACGUAAGAUCCGAGCGUUAUCCGGAGUGACUGGGCGUAAAAAAUUUGCGUAGGUGGUUUAAUAAGCGAAUAGUGAAAGCUGGUGGCUCUUCCAUUCAGACUAUUAUUCGAACUGUUGAACUCGAGAGCAGAAGAGGUAGCUGGAAUUUCUAGUGUAGGAGUGAAAUCCGUAGAUAUUAGAAGGAACACCGAUGGCGUAGGCAGGCUACUGGGCUGUUUCUGACACUGAGGCACGAAAGCGUGGGGAGCGAACCGGAUUAGAUACCCGGGUAGUCCACGCCGUAAACGAUGGAUACUAGCUGUUUGGGGUAUCGACCCCCUGAGUAGCGAAGCUAACGCGUUAAGUAUCCCGCCUGUGGAGUACGAUCGCAAGAUUAAAACAUAAAGGAAUUGACGGGGACCCGCACAAGCGGUGGAUCAUGUUCUUUAAUUCGAUGAUAACCGAUAAACCUUACCAGGUCUUGACAUCCUUGGAAUCUUUCAGAAAUGAGAGAGUGCUUUCUAAGAGCCAAGUGACAGGUGAUGCAUGGCCGUCGUCAGCUCGUGUCGUGAGAUGUUUGGUUAAGUCCAUCAACGAGCGCAACCCUUGUCAGUAGUUGUAUUUUUCUACUGAGACUGCCCCGGUAACGGGGAGGAAGGAGGGGAUGACGUCAGGUCAGUAUUUCCCUUACGUCCUGGGCUAGAAACGUGAUACAAUGGCUAGUACAAUGCGCAGCGAAGCCGCGAGGUGAAGCAAAUCGCAUCAAAGCUAGUCCCAGUUCGGAUUGUAGGCUGAAACUCGCCUGCAUGAAGUCGGAAUCGCUAGUAAUCGCAGAUCAGCAUGCUGCGGUGAAUACGUUCCCGGGUCU